rnacentral:misc_RNA from 1 species
AGUUUCGCUUUACCUUAAGGCUUGAGUAUAGUAUUAAGAACUGAAUAGGCACCGAAGGCGAAGGCACAUGGUAACGGUCUGUAAUUGUAGUCUGACGGUAGAAGGAUUGAUCUGAGAAGCUUAUGAGAAGUUUGUUUCAAAGAAAUGAAUCAACAAGAACUACACAAGAAAAUCAAGGAGUACUUUUAUAAGGGUUUCAACAGCAGACUUAUCCAUUACCUAAUCCAGAGAAACAAUAAUUAUGAUAUAAGUUAUAAUUGCCUAGUUAGAAAACUACUCCCUAGACUUGGUUUGAGAAGGAGGCUUGCGGAAAUUGAUAUAGAUGAAGUAUUUGAAAAGUCACAGAUAGAGAUACAAAAUGGUUGUGCAGGUUCAGAGAACCUAAGAAGAACUCUGAAAAUGAAAUACCAUUUUAAUGUAACCAGAUCCAUUUCAAGAGAAAUAGUAAAAAUUUUGGAUGAAGAUGGAGUCAGAAGAAGGAAACAAAGAAGACUAAGACGAAGGCAGUAUUUCAGCAGGAUGGAUAUGAUAAGCUUAAGCCAUUUGGAAUAAGCAUUCAUGGGUGCAUCGAUGGGUUUUCUCGAAGAGUGAUAUGGUUGGAGGCAGAUAUAACCAAUAAACGGCCAGAGGUUGUAGCUGAAUAUUAUCUUAGUGCUGUGCAAUUGCUAAAAGGCUGUCCUCAGAAAAUCCGUGCUGAUCCCGGAACAGAAAAUGGAAUCAUUGCCACAUUUCAUUCCUGUUUGAAAGGAAAUUGUAGUUCGGUUACUUUGGGAACAUCUACAGCAAAUCAGAGGAUUGAGAGGUUCUGGGGUCUUUUGAGACAAAUGAGGGCAGAUUUUUGGAUACAUCAUUUCAAGGAUUUAGUGUAUGAAGAUUUACUGGUGCUAGGAAAUCCUAUACACAGUAUGUUUACCUCCCACUAAUAAAGAAAGACUUAAAGGAAAUAAUGGAGCAAUGGAAUAACCAUUUGAUUCGGCGACAGAAAUUAGGAGAUACAGUACAAGGCAUUCCAGAUGUGUUGUUUAAAAAUCCAGAGAUUGUUGGUGCUUCACAGUACAUACAUUCAGUUCCUCACAAUACAGUGGCUCGUUUACAGGGACUUGUGUCAAACAACUUCAAACAAAUUGAUGAAGAUUUUGCACAUGUGGCAACAUUAAUUUUGCACCAGCAUGGUCUGCCUCUGCCAGAUGCCCUGGGAGACUGGACCUCUGCUCGUCAACUCUACAUAUUUCUGCAGGAGAGCAUCACACAUUUAAUGAAUCUUAUAUAAUAACGACUUAAUAAGUAAAAGGUGUAAUCACUCAUGGGUGUCAGAUGAUGUUGCUUGUAUUUUCAGCUGAAUUGUAUUAACCAGCUUUACAGUCUUAAAUUUUUAACAAAUCAGAUACAUUUACAUGUAUAUGUACAUGCACGUAUCUACAUUAUUUAGUUUUUAUACCUCUGCUUCAGAAACUGUUUUACCCGUGUGUCCGUCUGUUCGUUCGUACAUGUAAAAACUCACUGUCACAUUUUUUUUCAGCGACUUUUAAAUGCAGAUGCUUCAAAUUGAACACACUCUUUUUUUAGGCAUGCCAUUUUAUUUUCAUACCAAUGGGAUGUCAUCUUCAUUCCUGUUAAAUGAUUUUUUUUUUAGCCCAAGUUUUUAAAUAAAUUUUAGUUAAAGAUUUAAUUCUCAGCAACUGUUAAUCGUAGAUGCUUGAAAUUUUAAAACUCUCUUUGUUUAGACAUGUCAUAUGGUGGAAUGUUUUCGUACCAAUUGGACAUCAACUUCUUGUCAAAUGACCUGUGCUUUUGUUCAUUUUUAGAUUAAAUUUUGAAAUUAUAUUUUUUCAGCAACUAUAAAUUGCAGAUGCUGGAAAGUUUUACUUCUAUUAGUUGAAGAAGGCAAUAUAGUUGGAUUCAUUUUUUCAAAAUUCUCAGUCAACCUCCAGUUAAAUGCUUAUUUUGUAUAUUCACAUCAGUGCAGGGGUAUCACUUGUGAGCAUUGGCUCAUAGAUAUCUUAUAUGUAUGCGUUUUUAAUGGGGAGGGGGAUUGAGAUAUUAUACACCAGCCAUAAAGUUUACCUAUAAUACAUGUAAGCUCUCUCUUUGUAAUGUUAUCAUGGAAUCCCAUUAUGUAAUGAUUAUGUCAAAUGCAUUACAUGUAUUGUGAAAUAAAUUAUAUAAAAGU